GUGCCAGCCGCCGCGGUAAUACGAAGGGGGCUAGCGUUGUUCGGAAUUACUGGGCGUAAAGCGCGCGCAGGCGGUCUUCCAAGUCAGUGGUGAAAGCCCGGAGCUCAACUCCGGAACUGCCAUUGAAACUGUUAGACUUGAGGACGAGAGAGGUGAGUGGAAUUCCCAGUGUAGAGGUGAAAUUCGUAGAUAUUGGGAAGAACACCGGUGGCGAAGGCGGCUCACUGGCUCGUAUCUGACGCUCAGGCGCGAUAGCGUGGGGAUCAAACAGGAUUAGAAACCCCAGUAGUCC
rnacentral:rRNA from 1 species